rfam:Cetobacterium somerae ATCC BAA-474 genomic scaffold Scaffold22, whole genome shotgun sequence.
UAUAAAAAUCACAAUUAAACUCAUAUAUACUUGGGAUUGGCCAAGAGUUUCUACGAACUACCGUAAAUAGUUCUCUAUGAGGGAUAAAUAUAAUCGC